rnacentral:lncRNA from 1 species
CAUUCCAUCCCAUUCGGGUUGAUUCCAUUCCAUUCCAUUCCAUUCCAUUCCAUUCCAUUCCAUUCCAUUCCAUUCCAUUCCAUUCGUUUCCAUUCCAUUCGGGUUGAUUCCAUUCCAUUAAAUUCCACUGCAUUCCAUUCCAUUCCAUUCCACUCCAUUCCAUUCCAUUCCACUCCAUACAUUCCAUUCCUUUCCACCCGGAUUGAUUCCAUUCCAUUCCAUUCCAUUCUAUGCUAUUCCAUUCCAGCUGAUUCCAUUGGAUUCCAUUCCGUUCCAUUCCAUUCCACUCCUUUCCAUUCCAUUCCAUUGCAUUCGACUCGGGUUGAUUCUGCUCCAUUCCAUUGCAUUACAUUCCAUUUCAUUCCAUUCGGGUUGAUUCCUUUCCAUUCCAUUCCGUUCCAGUCGGGUUAAUUCCAUUCCGUUCCUUU